AUGCCAUUAGUGAGCAGCAGCAUCUCUGUGUAUCAGGAAGCAGCUCUGGCCUCCCCUAGACAUUGUGCAAGAGCUCAGCUGGAACAGGAGCCCCUUCCGUGCAAGACCAGUGGUUUGCUUCAUACCUGCUGCCUGGGAGAGGGUGGCAGGGGUACUUCGGCACAUAGUGCUACUGAGAACAAAAAGGUGGUCACAUUCAGAUCAGCUGUAGACCACAGCACUGCAACUGCUGCCUGUGCUGAUGACCAGGAGAAGGAAGCAGGUUUAUCUGUCCUUCCUGGGAGGUCCAGGCUACUCCACAGUCUGAACACUCUUCAUUCUGCACUCAAAACACUUGGAGAGCUGACUGUGGAUCUACUGAGUACCAGUACCAUGGUGUCUGUGGUCAUAAAUCAUCUACCAGAGUCUUCCCCAGAACAAUGCCACCUCCCCAGCAAUUAAAAUACAACAACUUAAGGAAGCAUUGAAUCUAUUAGACUUCAUAAAAAAGGAGUAUUUCUAUGAAACCACCCAGGAGAUUUUAUGGAACCCAAAAUAUGUAAGAUAUUUGUUAUGUUUCAUUUGAUAGUUUUGUGUUUUCUCUGUGUUUCUGUGAAUUCAUAAAGAAAUACAGUGUUUUGGACAAAUAUUGUCACCUGUUUUUAGUAAUCAUGUGUUCAGUUGGGUAAUGUCAGACCUACUACAAGUCUGACAGGUAUUGAGAACUACGCUCAAUAUGUUAUACAGUUAUGGAUUGAAUUCUGUUUAUUGAGGUAGCCACAGAGUCAUAGAAUCAUAGAAUGACUUGGGUUGGAGGGGCCUUGAAGAUGAUCUAGUUCCACCCUCUGCCAUGGGCAGGGCUGCCACCCACCAGAUCAGGCUGCCCAGGGCCCAUCCAACCUGGCCAUGAACAUCUCCAGGGAUUGGGCACCCACAGCUUCUGUGGGCAGCCUGUGCCAGGGCCUCACCACCCUCUGGGUUAAGAAUUUGCUCCCAACAUCUAACCUACAUCUCUCCUCUUUUAGUCCUUAACUAAUAGUAGAAUAGGAAACAAUGGGAAUCUCACAGGCUAUGGAAAGCAGGUGGGCCUGAGAGACACUUUGCACAGAGCCCAAUCUGUAAAGCCC
rnacentral:lncRNA from 1 species